GCCUAGGUGGCUCAGUUGGUUAAGCCUCCAGACUUCUGCUCAGGUCAUGAUCCCACAGCUCGUGAGUUCAAGCCUCCCCCUGGGCU
rnacentral:tRNA from 1 species